rnacentral:rRNA from 1 species
GUAACGCGUGGGUAACCUGCCCUGUACAGGGGGAUAACAGCUGGAAACGGCUGCCAAUACCGCAUAAGCGCACGAGGAGACAUCUCCUUGUGUGAAAAACUCCGGUGGUACAGGAUGGGCCCGCGUCUGAUUAGCUGGUUGGCAGGGUAACGGCCUACCAAGGCAACGAUCAGUAGCCGGUCUGAGAGGAUGAACGGCCACAUUGGAACUGAGACACGGUCCAAACUCCUACGGGAGGCAGCAUG